UGCAGUCGAGCGCAGGAAGCAGACGGAUCUCUUCGGAGUGAUGUUUGUGGAAUGAGCGGCGGACGGGUGAGUAACACGUAGGUAACCUGCCUGUAAGACUGGGAUAACUCGCGGAAACGCGAGCUAAUACCGGAUAACACUUUUCACCUCCUGGUGAGAAGUUGAAAGGCGGCUUUUGCUGUCACUUACAGAUGGACCUGCGGCGCAUUAGCUAGUUGGUGAGGUAACGGCUCACCAAGGCGACGAUGCGUAGCCGACCUGAGAGGGUGAUCGGCCACACUGGGACUGAGACACGGCCCAGACUCCUACGGGAGGCAGCAGUAGGGAAUCUUCCGCAAUGGACGAAAGUCUGACGGAGCAACGCCGCGUGAGUGAUGAAGGUUUUCGGAUCGUAAAACUCUGUUGUCAGGGAAGAACACGUGCCAUAGUAACUGAUGGCACCUUGACGGUACCUGACCAGAAAGCCACGGCUAACUACGUGCCAGCAGCCGCGGUAAUACGUAGGUGGCAAGCGUUGUCCGGAAUUAUUGGGCGUAAAGCGCUCGCAGGCGGUUCUUUAAGUCUGAUGUGAAAUCUUGCGGCUCAACCGUAAACGUGCAUUGGAAACUGGAGGACUUGAGUGCAGAAGAGGAGAGUGGAAUUCCACGUGUAGCGGUGAAAUGCGUAGAGAUGUGGAGGAACACCAGUGGCGAAGGCGACUCUCUGGUCUGUAACUGACGCUGAGGAGCGAAAGCGUGGGGA
rnacentral:rRNA from 1 species